AUGACUACUCAAUUAUAGGCUGGAGGAACAAGAGCCCUGCUGCGCUGCGGGUCACUCUGACCUUGGAAAAUAUCUCACUCAACUUCCUUGAGGACUGGGAGGCACUGUCAAUUACUACAGUGAUGCAAGUUUUCACAGCACUAAACGAUGACUCAGAACCAGCUACGGGAACAUUAAACAAGCCCAAAGCCAUACUAGGACCCGGGACACACCCCCAAAAGAUGCCCUUCAAAUCAGACUAAGGCUCCUCUACCCAGGAGCCUGCACCACCAGCCCUGCGGAGCUCCAGCCCCAUCUCAGUGAGCUGAUGACCCCAAAGUUCAAGGUCUCCGUGGCGUGGACCUGCAGGCUCAGCAGCCCUGGACAGCCCUCUGGACAGGGGCAAAGGACAGAAACUGCAGCCAGUCCAGUCUCCAGAGGGCAGCAGGCCAGGCAGGCUGGGAGCACUGGCCAGGCACAGACCCCAGCAGGGACCUCAGCUCCCAGUGGCCAGUUUCUCCGUCCACCGUUUCUCUCACCUGAGCUCAACCGAAAAUGUGAAGUGGAAAUGCCAGAAAAAAAUCCUCUCCCAUCUCUGAUCCAUCUGGAAAACAUCUGGUUCCCGGGUACGGCAGGAUGCAGCGUCCCUGUCCCAGCCGGCUUCCCCAUCAUUCCGCCCAGCUCAGUGACUAAUCCUUUCUUCCCGGCCCAUGAGAAAUCGCUGUCCUCACCAAAACCCCAACUCCUGCCAGCGCCCUGGUGUUGAAGAGGAACAGCUAUGCGCCCCUGCCCCACAGUGGAUUGGCCCUGAGAUGUCCCUGCCUCAAGUGCAGCCCCAGGAGGAUGCUGGAUUCCGCUGGUGGAGGCGGCAGCCGCGGGGAACCCACGGUGCUGCUCAGGGCAGGGGCUCCAAACAUCCCAGCAGGAGAACGGAAGGCCCUGCGGUGGGGCAUUCUCAAAGCACCCAGCAUGCACGCCCCUCUGCCCCCAGCCAGCCUCUUCCGUUCUCGAUUCUCUGAGCUCAGGGCUGCUGGACUCUGAUGGGUGGAAAAUCCACUUAUACAUUUUUUCUUACUUAUACAUUGUCAUAUUUUCCAAAAUGACUAUAAUGAAACGCG